GCUUGGGUCUGGUCGGUCGUCGGCUCAGUAAUGAAUGUAUUUGUUGUAUGAAUCUGAUGGGUUCAUUUUCUCAACGCGUGGACAAUUUUUGUGGAUCGGAGUGUAUACGAGCUAGCAUAGCCUAAAGAACGAAGAAGCCUGUUGUAGAGCAGUCGACUAGAAGUAUCAGACUGUUGAGAAGAGGGCUUGGAGUGUAUACAAGCGAGCUAGCCCAAAGAACGAGGAAGUUCAUUAUAGAGUAGUCGAUUAGAAGUAUCAGACUGUUGAGAAGAGGCCUCGAGUGUAUACAAGCGACCAUAGCCCGAAGAACGAAGAAGCCUGUUGUAGAGUAGUCGACUAGAAGUAUCAGACUGUUGAGAAGAGGGCUUGGAGUGUAUACAAGCGAGCUAGCCCAAAGAACGAGGAAGUUCGUUAUAGAGUAGUCGAUUAGAAGUAUCAGACUGUUGAGAAGAGGGCUCGAGUGUAUACAAGCGAGCAUAGCCCAAAGAACGAAGAAGCCUGUUGUAGAGUAGUCGACUAGAAGUAUCAGAUUGUUGAGAAGAGGGCUCGGAGUGUAUACAAGCGAGCUAGCCCAAAGAACGAGGAAGUCCGUUAUAGAGUAGUCGACUAGAAGUAUCGAACUGUUGAGAAGAGGGCUCAGAGUGUAUACAAGCGAGCAAUGAGGAAGCCCGUUAUAGAGCAGUCGACUAGAAGUAUCAGACUGUUGAGAAGAGGGCUCGGAGUGUAUACAAGCGAGCAUAGCCCAAAGAACGAAGAAGCCUGUUAUAGAGCAGUCGACUAGAAGUAUCAGACUAUUGAGAAGAGGGCUCGAAGUGUAUACAAGCGAGCAACAAGGAAGCCCGUUAUAGAGCGGUCAACUAGAAGUAUCAGACUAUUGAAAAGACGGCCUCUCUCGAAAAUGAUGACCUAAUUUCUCUUA